UAGGAAUGAUCUCUUGAAUUUGUGGU
rnacentral:piRNA from 1 species